rnacentral:rRNA from 1 species
CGAGCGCAGGAAACAAGUAGAUCCCUUCGGGGUGACGCUUGUGGAAUGAGCGGCGGACGGGUGAGUAACACGUGGGCAACCUACCUUGUAGACUGGGAUAACUCCGGGAAACCGGAGCUAAUACGGGAUGAUCAUUUGAAUCGCAUGAUUGAAAUGUAAAAGUGAGGAGUAAUCCUCACACUAUGAGAUGGGCCCGCGGCGCAUUAGCUAGUUGGUAAGGUAAUGGCUUACCAAGGCAACGAUGCGUAGCCGACCUGAGAGGGUGAUCGGCCACACUGGAACUGAGACACGGUCCAGACUCCCACGGGAGGCAGCAGUAGGGAAUCAUCCGCAAUGGGCGAAAGCCUGACGGUGCAACGCCGCGUGAACGAUGAAGGUUUUCGGAUCGUAAAGUUCUGUUAUGAGGGAAGAACAAGUGCCGUUCGAAUAGGGCGGCACCUUGACGGUACCUCACGAGAAAGCCCCGGCUAACUACGUG